rnacentral:lncRNA from 1 species
GUGAAUGUUGAUGACUGAGAGAGAAGGGAUAAACCAGAGUGUUUUACAGCAACCCAGCAGAACCAAAGGAUCUGCCAAUACUGGCGAAGUCCUUUCUCUGAACCAGACAACAGAAGCUGCUGUCCCAGUUCGUGGUUGCUCCUUCCCACUGGCAAACAGCUGGGGGGGAUCUGCUCUCAGGAGGAGGGAUAUUUUGGAAACUGGAAAACUGCCGCUUGCACCAGAAUGGCAUGCCACUAAUUUCUGCAGCUUUUUUGAAGGGAGCAUUGCCACCCGGCGAGCUCUGUCAGCCUCCUCUAGGAUUCCCCAUAGAAAUCCCCACCCUCCUACAAGAGGAGCCGUGCCCCAGGUACGCCACAUUACCCACAGCCAGCCUUGCCACUCCCAGAGAAAGUUUGUGUUGUGCCUGCUGCAGGUUGGACGUGAAGAAGUGCACAUCCCUCUUUUUUUGCCUUCUUGCUGCAGACUCAUUCAACAAGGCCAUUCAGGACUGAAUUCAUUUCCAGGACUGCAUUUGGGGAAGUCAAGACCUGAGCAGAUCCUUUUUUAUUUCUAUUCAUUCUCAGGAAAGCGCUCCUCGACGAGUUGGGCCUAGCAAUAUGGCAGCGCACGUUCGAUAAGAAAUCCCGUCCAGUGCUGCUACGAGGACCAUGUGCUCCCUGACCCAUUGCCUCGACUGCACACGCUGCAGGGCGAGGGCUUUUGGAAAGCUGAGGGCUCUCGAGUUGCACGUGGGCUCCUACCUAAAAGCUUUCCUGGUUUUGCAAAGAUGCUGAACCCUUG